GGCAGUGGCCACAUAUCUCAGCGGCUAAAUGACUGUCUAUAGGGCAGCGAAAACACAUCCUUAUCAGUUUAAAGCAGUUGCUGCCUUACUCAGGGGGACAAAAAAUGAGAACAGGAGCCUUCUGAAGCUCAUCAAACAAGAGCUUCAAGAAUCAGAAUCGGAAUCUGUAGCUGACAUCAUCAAGUCAAAGCAAACUGGACAUCUACAGAGCUGGUGCAGUUUAUGAAAAUAACUACUAUGUGGUAGAGGAGUGGCAAGGAGGAGGGAUGGAAAUUGUCCUAGCCAGAGAGGAGCCGCACAGACCCAGCUCAGGACAGAUGGACCAGUUGGCUGUGGAAAACUGUGCCUCUAAUCAUUGGGACAUAGUGAUCGUCACUGGAGUCCAUGGCCUUCAGAUUUUGUUCUGAGAAAGAGACCACAUCCUGAUUCAUGGACUCCUAGGCACCAGCAAAUAUGAGCUGCCCUGUUGCCACCCUAAAAGAAAUGUGGGGGCACCAGUGUACCUGCCUGAUACCAUGCAAGAUACAAAAGACAGAUGUGCAGCUUUAUGUGGCCAGGUACGGACCUGCAUCCUGAAUUGUGAGGGGGGACACAGUGCAGAGCCAGUCACACGUCACCCCUGACCACCCUCACUGUCACCUACUUCUGCUGCUUCAUACAAGAGUGACAGCCAUUGAAAGCCUUGCCACCACCUCCCAUACUUUUUAGCCCAACUUAAAAACAAAAAGGAGUCGGGCAGUGGUGGUGCACACCUUUAACCC